GACGAACGCUGGCGGCGCGCUUAACACAUGCAAGUCGAACGGAAAGGCCUGCUUUCCCUUGUGGAUUGCGGGUACUCGAGUGGCGAACGGGUGAGUAACACGUGAGUGAUCUGCCCCCAACUUGGGUAUAAGCCUGGGAAACUGGGUCUAAUUCCCGAUAGGACUGCAGGGUGGUGCCUGUGGUGGAAAACGAUUUUCUAGUGGUUGGGGAUGAGCUCGCGGCCUAUCAGCUUGUUGGUGGGGUAAUGGCCUACCAAGGCGGCGACGGGUAGCCGGCCUGGGGGGGUGGACGGCCACAUUGGGACUGAGAUACGGCCAAGACUCCUACGGGCGGCAGCAGUGGGGAAUAUUGCACAAUGGGCGGAAGCCUGAUGGAGCGACGCCGCGUGGGGGAUGACGGCCUUCGGGUUGUAAACUCCUUUCGACCGCGAGGAAGCCACCUGGUUGGAAGGGUGGUGACGGUAGUGGUAGAAGAAGCACCGGCUAACUACGUG
rnacentral:rRNA from 1 species